GAUGAAGAACGUAGCGAAAUGCGAUAAGUAAUGCGAAUUGCAGAAUUUCCGUGAGUCAUCGAAUCUUUGAACGCACAUUGCGCCCACUGGUAUUCCGGUGGGCAUGCCUGUUCGAGCGUCAUUGCUGCCCUCAAGCACGGCUUGUGUGUUGGGCCCCGUCCUCCGAUCCCGGGGGACGGGCCCGAAAGGCAGCGGCGGCACCGCGUCCGGUCCUCGAGCGUAUGGGGCUUUGUCACCCGCUCUGUAGGCCCGGCCGGCGCUUGCCGAUCAACCCAAAUUUUUAUCCAGGUUGACCUCGGAUCAGGUAGGGAUACCCGCUGAACUUAAGCAUAUCAAUAAGCGGAGGA
rnacentral:misc_RNA from 1 species